rnacentral:rRNA from 1 species
CCUACGGGAGGCUGCAGUGGGGAAUAUUGGGCAAUGGGCGCAAGCCUGACCCAGCAAAGCCGCGUGAAGGAAGAAGGCUUUCGGGGUGUAAACUUCUUUUGUCAGGGAAGAGUAGAGGACGGUACCUGACGAAUAAGCCACGGCUAACUACGUGCCAGCAGCCGCGGUAAUACGUAGGUGGCAAGCGUUGUCCGGAUUUACUGGGUGUAAAGGGCGUGUAGCCGGGUUGACAAGUCAGAUGUGAAAUCCUGCGGCUUAACCGCAGAACUGCAAUUGAAACUGUUGGUCUUGAGUACUGGAGAGGCAGACGGAAUUCGUAGUGUAGCGGUGAAAUGCGUAGAUAUUAGGAGGAACACCAGUGGCGAAGGCAGUCUGCUGGACAGCAACUGACGUUGAGGCGCGAAAGCGUGGGGAGCAAACAGGAUUAGAUACCCGUGUAGUC